GAAAAAAAUCUAAAAGAAUUACAUACUUCUUAUUGAAUAUAUAUUCAUAUUCGACACUCGGAAUUAUUGUUGUCUUUCUGUACUUAUAGUUUUCGAGGACCUUGCAACCAUCAUGGAGGAUGGCAAUGGCAUCUUUUACAAUCAUCAAGUGCAACUAUCAGAGAUCGAAACACUUCAGAAACAACACGAGGAGAAAACGAUAAGGAUCCGAGACCUCAAGAGACAAAUUGAAGCGUUGAAGCUUCGUUUGGCGAAGACGAAAAUGAAGAAAAACAGUAGCAGAGAUGAGAGAAGAGAAGCUUUCAAUGAACUGUGUGAGAAAUAUCACAGCUUGAGAAAUGAAUAUAAUGCAUUAUUGAGUGAAAGUUCAAGGGAGCAGAGAUUAAUUUAACCGAAGAUUUCUUGUUACAAUUUAAUAUUUUGUUUCAUUUUAUCGUAUUUAAAUAUGUGCCAGACAUGAAUAUCGAAAAUGAAAUAUAUUUUGGUUUCAUUUUUCAUAUA